rnacentral:rRNA from 1 species
UACGGAGGGUCCAAGCGUUAUCCGGAAUCAUUGGGUUUAAAGGGUGCGUAGGCGGCUCAUUAAGUAGGGUGUGAAAGCCCCCGGCUCAACCGGGGAAUUGCGCUCUAAACUGAUGGGCUGGAGUGAGAUAGGGGUGUGUGGAACUUCCGGUGGAGCGGUGAAAUGUGUUGAUAUCGGAAGGAACGCCGGUGGCGAAAGCGACACACUGGGUCUCAACUGACGCUGAGGCACGAAAGCCAGGGGAGCAAACGGG